AGUGAACGCUGGCGGUAGGCCUAACACAUGCAAGUCGAACGGCAGCACAGUAAGAGCUUGCUCUUACGGGUGGCGAGAGGCGGACGGGUGAGGAAUACAUCGGAAUCUACUUUUUCGUGGGGGAUAACGUAGGGAAACUUACGCUAAUACCGCAUACGACCUACGGGUGAAAGCAGGGGAUCUUCGGACCUUGCGCGAUUGAAUGAGCCGAUGUCGGAUUAGCUAGUUGGCGGGGUAAAGGCCCACCAAGGCGACGAUCCGUAGCUGGUCUGAGAGGAUGAUCAGCCACACUGGAACUGAGACACGGUCCAGACUCCUACGGGAGGCAGCAGUGGGGAAUAUUGGACAAUGGGCGCAAGCCUGAUCCAGCCAUACCGCGUGGGUGAAGAAGGCCUUCGGGUUGUAAAGCCCUUUUGUUGGGAAAGAAAAGCAGCAGGUUAAUACCCUGCUGUUCUGACGGUACCCAAAGAAUAAGCACCGGCUAACUUCGUG
rnacentral:rRNA from 1 species